rnacentral:rRNA from 1 species
GAACGGGUGAGUAACACGUGGGCAAUCUGCCCUUCACUCUGGGACAAGCCCUGGAAACGGGGUCUAAUACCGGAUACGACCUGCUACCGCAUGGUGGCGGGUGGAAAGCUCCGGCGGUGAAGGAUGAGCCCGCGGCCUAUCAGCUUGUUGGUGAGGUAAUGGCUCACCAAGGCGACGACGGGUAGCCGGCCUGAGAGGGCGACCGGCCACACUGGGACUGAGACACGGCCCAGACUCCUACGGGAGGCAGCAGUGGGGAAUAUUGCACAAUGGGCGAAAGCCUGAUGCAGCGACGCCGCGUGAGGGAUGACGGCCUUCGGGUUGUAAACCUCUUUCAGCAGGGAAGAAGCGAGAGUGACGGUACCUGCAGAAGAAGCGCCGGCUAACUACGUGCCAGCAGCCGCGGUAAUACGUAGGGCGCAAGCGUUGUCCGGAAUUAUUGGGCGUAAAGAGCUCGUAGGCGGCUUGUCACGUCGAUUGUGAAAGCCCGAGGCUUAACCUCGGGUCUGCAGUCGAUACGGGCUAGCUAGAGUGUGGUAGGGGAGAUCGGAAUUCCUGGUGUAGCGGUGAAAUGCGCAGAUAUCAGGAGGAACACCGGUGGCGAAGGCGGAUCUCUGGGCCAUUACUGACGCUGAGGAGCGAAAGCGUGGGGAGCGAACAGGAUUAGAUACCCUGGUAGUCCACGCCGUAAACGGUGGGAACUAGGUGUUGGCGACAUUCCACGUCGUCGGUGCCGCAGCUAACGCAUUAAGUUCCCCGCCUGGGGAGUACGGCCGCAAGGCUAAAACUCAAAGGAAUUGACGGG